CUUCGGAGGAGUUAGCGAAAUUCCAAUGUGUGCAGAUCUGCAAAAAAUGCAAAAUAACCCAUUAACCGUACAUUUGACAGAUACGCCCGCACUGACUUUUUUGUAGAUCUUAUUGAGAUACAUGUGUGUGUCAAUUUUUGUGUCAAUAUGACAAAGCGUACAGCCGUCAUGUGAAUUUUCACCUUAGGGGGCGCUAUGGAGCCAUUUUGCAUUUUAUUGUUUGGGCGACUUCAGAAUAUCGAAUUUUUCACCAGGCCCGGUCGUCCUGCCAAAUUUCCUGAGUUUUCGCCAGUGGGAAGUGGGCCAUUUUCCAGUUUAAAGCGGAGGAAAAAUAAUAACGAAAGAAGGAAACAUGCAGGAACAAGAGGGCUCUCGCAGCUGCUUAGCAGCUACGCUCGGGCCCUAAAGAAAGAAAGAAAGAAAGAAACAAAGAAAAACCACUUGGGGAAUAAUAGGGCUCUCGCAGCUGCUUAGCAGCUACGCUCGGGCCCUAAAGAAAGAAACAAAGACUAGGGCCCCGUUGGGGCACUGGCGGGCCCGAGCUGUGUCGCGCCCCCCCCCCAACGCGCUGCCUCCCCGUCCCAUUCGCGUCCUCUGGCCAUCGUCCUCUCUGGUGACGCCCAUCACUGCAAAGACCCUUUUCCUUCAUCGGGGUUUGCUGUUCUUCCUGCCAGUGCGUGUUGCUUUCACUUACACUUGCCACAGCCAGCCUCGUGAGUGCCUAGCCUAUUGGAUAUCACUGUCACCUACACAGGACAGUCAUUACCUUUCUAUUAAUACUUUGUUUUUUUAAUUUCACAUUAAUUUCCAUAUUGUAUAAACGACUGGAAAAAACUUGAGCCCCUGCCCCUGUAUAAUCAUGUGCACGUCCCUGUUCUCGCUCCAAGGUGAAUCUUCACUGCUCAUGUUCUCCUCAGAAGCAGUCACCUCACUCCCCUCAGGUUACUGUACACAUGCACCAACUGCCUGCUUCAGGUUUGGAUGGAGCUUCAUGGUUGUCUUUUGGAGAAAUGAACAGUCAAGUUGUGUUUGAAAUUUGAUUUUUUUCAGGGGCAAAAGGAAGUCUCUGCAUUCUUGUCAAAUAUGUAAACAGCAUGUUUUUGCAGGUGCUAAAAAACAGACUCUGAGUGUGUGUGUGUGUGUGUGUGUGUGUGUGUGUGUGUGUGUGUGUGUGUGUGUGUGUGUAUCCUGCAGUACUCUGUACUCCUGCAGUGACCAAAAAGACUUUUAAGAAUGUGGAUUUUUGGGUCAUCUUUGGCGCCCCCUAGAACUGCAGUACUCUUUACUCCUGCAGUGGCCAAAAUGACUUUUAAGAAUGUGGAUUUUUGGGUCAUCUUUGGCACCCCCUAGAACGUAAACCGUGGGGUGCAGCGUCAUGAUUUUUACAACUUUGAAUGGCCAUGGGCUGUAGAUUGGCCUGAGCAAAUUUGGUGUCAUUGGGACGAAAGCCUUAGGAGGAGUUAGCCACAUUCCAAUGUGUGCAAAUCGGCAAAAAAUGCAAAAUAGCCCUUUUACCGUACAUUAUACACAUACGCGCUCUUUGACUUUUUCGUAGAUCUUAUUGAGAUACACGUGAUUGUCAAAUUUUGUGUCAAUAUGACAAAGCGUUCAGGCAUGACACUCUACAAUGUGUGUUUUCACCUUAGGGGACAAGAAAAAAUGCACUUUUUUCUCCUGCCAUGGGGGGGCGCUCUUUUGGGGAGUAAAAAUUCCUUCACAAAUGUGUUGAUGGCUGGACAUUGCAUCAUCCUAGAAAACUUGGAGGCCAGUGAGGACAAAAAUUAAAAGUUAUAAGACUUUUAAGAAUGUGGAUUUUUGGGUUAUCUUUGGCGCCCCCUAGAACCUAAACCGUGGGGUGCAGCGGCAUGAUUUGUACAACUUUUAAUGGCCAUGGGGUGUAGAUUGACCUGAGCAAAUUUGGUGCCGGUGGAACGAAAGCCUUUGGAGGAGUUAGCGAAAUUCCAAUGUGUGCGGAUCGGCAAAAAAUGCGAAAUAGCCCUUUAACCGUACAUUAUACAGAUACG
rnacentral:lncRNA from 1 species